GACGAACCGUCCGAACGUUAUUCGGAAUUACUGGGCUUAAAGGGUGCGUAGGCGGCCUUACAAGUCAGGUGUGAAAUCCCACGGCUCAACCGUGGAACUGCGCCUGAAACUGUAGGGCUUGAGGGAGAUAGAGGUGAGCGGAACUGAUGGUGGAGCGGUGAAAUGCGUUGAUAUCAUCAGGAACACCGGCGGCGAAGGCG
rnacentral:rRNA from 1 species